rnacentral:rRNA from 1 species
UACAGGGGGGGCAAGCGUUGUUCGGAAUUACUGGGCGUAAAGGGCUCGUAGGCGGCCAACUAAGUCAGACGUGAAAUCCCUCGGCUUAACCGGGGAACUGCGUCUGAUACUGGAUGGCUUGAGUUUGGGAGAGGGAUGCGGAAUUCCAGGUGUAGCGGUGAAAUGCGUAGAUAUCUGGAGGAACACCGGUGGCGAAGGCGGCAUCCUGGACCAACACUGACGCUGAGUGAGCGAAAGCCAGGGGAGCAAACGGG